UAGUAUGAACCAUACAUACUCCAGGCUGAAAGAACCUGCCUAAGGGUUAUAGAAAUCACGAAUGAAAUGUUCUUUUGUCCUUUUCGUCUUGUUGCUUGCCGACAAUGAUAUUGUUGCUAUUUGUGCAGCCAGAUUUCACAGAACAUCAUGAUGCCAAACUUAAGUCAGUUUUUCUGUCAGAGCAUGGCAGGUUGAAACAUGCAGCAGCAGCUCAUUGUUUCGUUUGGAUUGUUCUGAUGAUUUUGAUGUGGGGGAACAUCGUGUUUGAAGUUUCCUUCUGCCUUCUGGCUGACUUUUCGUUCUUGCAUGUGAACUCAGACAAAAAGAUGCUGCAUGUGCAUGAUCAAGGUGAAGAAAAUGGAAGAUUCGAUUUUGGUCUGGACUUCGGUUUGUAUACAGUGACUCUCACACUUUCUGAGUAACCGUUUCUUGAGGUCUACAGGAGCAUGUGAAUGAUCAAACGUUUGGGGUAUAGACUAUAGUCUCUAUAGAUUGAUGGUGGAUGCACUAGUGAAGAACAGGCAUGCAUUAAAGUUCAAGGAAUACUACAUUCAGAAAACGUUGCAAAUUCACAUCCCUUAUGCACAUAAUCAACCCAUCAAAUUCUAACCCCUAACAAUAAUACACAGAGAGAGAGAGAGAGAGAGAGAGAGAGAGAACAAGACAG